GUGCUUGCUUUGGCAGCAUGCAUACUAAAAUUGGACACACACAGAGAUUAGCAUGGCCUCUGUGCAGAGACGGCACAGAAAUUCAUGAAGCUUUCUGUAUUUUU